rnacentral:tRNA from 4 species
GCCCCUGUGGCCUAAUGGAUAAGGCAUUGGCCUCCUAAGCCAGGGAUUGGGGGUUCGAGUCCCUCCAGGGGUA